rnacentral:rRNA from 1 species
GUGGGGAAUAUUGGGCAAUGGGCGCAAGCCUGACCCAGCAACGCCGCGUGAGGGAAGAAGGCUUUCGGGUUGUAAACCUCUGUCCUUGGUGACGAAGAAAGUGACGGUAGCCAAGGAGGAAGCCCCGGCUAACUACGUGCCAGCAGCCGCGGUAAUACGUAGGGGGCGAGCGUUGUCCGGAAUUACUGGGCGUAAAGGGUGCGUAGGUGGCCUUUUAAGUUGGAUGUGAAAUACCCGGGCUUAACUUGGGGGGUGCAUCUAAUACUGGGAGGCUAGAGUGCAGGAGAGGGAAGCGGAAUUCCUAGUGUAGCGGUGAAAUGCGUAGAUAUUAGGAAGAACACCAGUGGCGAAGGCGACUUUCUGGACGAAAACUGACGCUGAGGCGCGAAAGCCAGGGGAGCGAACGGGAUUAGAAACCCCGGUAGUCC